GACGAACGCUGGCGGCGUGCCUAAUACAUGCCAGUCGAACGCACAGUUUAUACCGUAGCUUGCUACACCAUAGACUGUGAGUUGCGAACGGGUGAGUAACGCGUAGGUAACCUGCCUGGUAGCGGGGGAUAACUAUUGGAAACGAUAGCUAAUACCGCAUAAUAUUGAUUAUUGCAUGUUAAUUGAUUGAAUGAUGCUAUUGCAUCACUACCAAAUGGACCUGCGUUGUAUUAGCUAGUAGGUGAGGUAACGGCUCACCUAGUGGACGAUACAUAGCCGACCGGAGAGGGGGAUAGGCCACACUGGGACUGGAACACGGCCAAGAAUCCUGCGGGAGGGAGAAGGAGGGAAUCUUCGGCAAAGGAAGAAAGGCGGAACGAGCAACGCCGCGUGAGUGAAGAAGGGUGUCGGAUCGUGAAGAUCAGUUGUAAGAGAAGAACGGGAGUGAGAGUGGAAAGUGCACACUGUGACGGUAACUUAACAGAAAGGGACGGCUAACUACGUG
rnacentral:rRNA from 1 species